GAAAUGCGAUAAGUAAUGUGAAUUGCAGAAUUCCGUGAAUCAUUAAAUCUUUGAACGCACAUUGCGCUCCCGGGUACUCCCGAGAGCAUGUCUGUUUGAGAAUCAGUUUAACCUCUCACAUUGUUUAAAUCUUUUAAAUAACGUGGACUUGGGACUAUUCUUUUUUGGUUACAAGAAAGAAAGACCUUUAAUCUAAAUUUGACCUUUAGACUUUGCUAAAUUUUAGCGUUUUAUACCUAGAAGGCAUGACCAAUGGCAAAGAGGGAAACCUCUUGACCUUUAGACUGCUGAUAAUAGGUUAGUUAAUUUUUGGGCAUAACUUGGAAGUGUUGCAACAUUUAUUUAUAUAACACGGAAAGCGUAAAAAACUUUUCAAGACUUUGAUCUCAAAUCAGACAAG
rnacentral:misc_RNA from 1 species